AAAACAUGUGUGUGAGACAAGCAAUUGUGUCUGGUUAAUACUUUGCUGAUUCAGUUAUGUAUUUGUUUUGAGGGCAUUGCAGUUUAGGAUAUAUAAAGAAAUAAAAGAAAGGUUUAAGGAUUACCUGUGGAUUGAUGUUGUGUCCAAAUGCGACCUGCUUGGAGGCGGCUCUCCGGUGAUUUAUGCCAAAGAAGAUAGAAGCAAUGAUGAAGAAGAAAUCAUUAAGUACAGGGAAACAGGGCCUGAUGAAUCAUUUCAUGUCUCAGUGAAAACAGAACAAGGUCUCAGUGAGGUAUGUAAAACCUUACCAGAAAUCUUUUCUAUUUCCACAAAAAAAUGAAAGCAAAGUAAAGAGUGUCUGUUUCUCUACAUGGCUUGCAGCUAAAGAGCAAAGUAAAGGAAGUGCUGAGUAAUGAGAUGGAGAAGAUCAAAAGUGGAGUGGGAGUUGAUCCAAGUGUUGCUAGUUCUUAGGUAGAUAGAGCCAUAGAGGUUUUACCUUUUUACUAAAAUCCAUUUUAAGCUUUGUUACUUGUGAAGAUGUAUCUUCUGAAAAAGCAUCAAUUGUUGUUUUAUUAAUAACAGUAUUAAAAGAUUAUACGUCAUAUCAAAAUAUAAAUCAUUGAUGGAUGCUUUACCUAUAAUUUAUCGUUACAUUUAUUUGUAGCAUAUAACUAUUCAUGUUAACUGCUAAAAAAUUUUAUGAUCCAACAUGACUGAUGUUACACGCUCAUGCUAAUCGUGUCCAUCCCAAGUUUAAUGUCUGGCAACCCAAGUCCUACCCUAAACCAUAUAUUUUUGUAUGCUAGUAACCAUCUUAUACAUAAUUUAAUUGCCUAUGUUAAUCUAUGGAAGUUCAGUAAAAAAAGUCAUGUUAACGUAGGAUUAAAAUGAUAUGUCCUCGUUUUGUAUUGAUAGUUAGCAUUAAAAUUAGAGUUAUUAUAUUUAUAUUUGGCUCUAAAACCUCAUCUGAAAAAAUCUGCACAUUUCGUCGUUCGAUAAACAUUUUUACCGAAAAUAAUUUGUGGUCCUAAAGCCAUAAACAAAACAGUCACCUAUUGAGUCCCAGUACAAAUAUAGCUCGUCUGCUGCGUUCAGGAGUCAGAACCUAGCAUCUGACACAGCCCUUUUCCAGAAGGGCAAAAUCGUGUCUCUUGGCCCAAAAUCAUACUCUGUUUACCUCUUUCGAUUUUUCAAGGGCAGUCCUCUAAUCUAAUCGGUGUCUGAUAUUGGUAUAUUACCCUGAAUCUCUAUGUAAAGUCCUUCAACUGACAUGGUAUAGGCCCAAUACACCAGUUAGCGUUGUUUUCAUGGUUAAAUAAAUUUGUCGAACCAUGAACCCAAAACCAUUCCGGUCCAGUUCGGUUAUCUCUGAAUCCACAACUCAAAUGGUGCAAGGCGUGACAAUGCCUUGUACAAGCUUUCUCAGAAACACGAUGAAAUUGGCGUCGAGCUUGUUUCCCAAUCAAUGGCGACUCUUAGCAUCAUCACCACAGCUUUAUCUACAAUCUUUCAUCUUCUCGUCAGGUACCUCUUCAAUCGCUUCCUCAAAUCCUUGUCUUUUCAUCCUCCUCUUACCUCUCUCAUACUCUUGUUCAGCCUCCACUUCAAAGUCUCCAACUUUGCGUCAAUAUCGGAAUCUUCAGACAGCUGUUUCUCCAGUCGUCACUUCGAGUUACUUGCCCACUUCCUACAUCACUCAGAAGCAGAUUGAAACCCCUACCUCCCCGGUAAAAAGUUCCCACCUUUGGAUCCCUUUUUUACUUACAAAAGUCUCGAGCUUUGGGUUAGGUAAAGUUUUUGACUUUUAACGAAAACGAAUGUUGGGUUUUGCAGGAAAAGCAAGGGGCUCCAGUGCAGGAGAGUUUGGGGGCUUUUCAAAAACUCCCCAUGGUGAUGCCAUCUAUUGAUUUGUACUCUUCUGCUCUCAGGAAGUCCAAAAGAGUCCAACCAACUAAAGGUUGUAAUAUUGAUUCCUUUGUUCAAACUCGUUAGCUGAGUCUUGGUCCAUUUUGCGGUGUCUCACUCAGGCAUAGCUAAUAUUGCAAAGAGGGAAAGAAACAGAGGUGCUAAACAGCUUGAUGCAUUCAUGAAAGUAAGCUCAUUCUAACGCAUCCUUUGGUUGAGAUUCUGAGAUGAUUCUUGUCUGACUGGUCUUUGUUUGAAAAGGAACUGGCUUUACCUUUAAAAGGAUACAUGGAGAGUUUUCCAAGGAGGAGACUGUUGCAUCCUUAUGAGCGGUCUCUUAUUGAGUUGACACUUGGUGAUGGAAAAUACGAGGAGGUAUCUCUAUUAUGCGUAUGCCCUUUAAGUCAUUCUCUCCCAUUACCCUACUACUGAUUCUAGCAUUGGCUUAUAGAUUAAGUUGUUCUUUAGGUGUUAGGAAAAGUUGAUGCUCUGAGGAAGAAGGUGUUGUCUGUUGGAAAGGAACAUGCUUCUCUCUGUGCUAAGGUCAGACUCCUCAAUCCUGUGGAAGAUAAGAUUAUUGUAUUUUUCAUGUUAGUGAUCUCACAUAGGUUGUGAUUGGUACUGCAACACUAAAGGCGUUACCAACUUCUAAAAUUUCAUUGUUCUAUCUUAUUCUAUCAUAGUUUAGUUGAACGAAAAGCUAAUAAAGAUCUUUUGCUUUUCUUCUUUUGGCAGGCAUUAUCAAAGCGAGAAGCAGAGGAUCGGUUGAGCGAAGGUGUGGAGAAGCUUGAAUUGGUCUUCCAGCAAGAAGGAAGAGCUGUUGAUGAUUUGUUAAGCAUAGCAAAGGUUCCUUGCUUGUUUCUCUCUCGCAAUGGUUUGACCCUUUUGACUUAAAUUAUCAGAACUGUAUGAAUAGAGUUAAGCAUCUUGCAGGUUUUGAGGGCUAUGCCAGUUGUUGACUUGGAAAUGCCAACCCUUUGCCUUGUCGGAGCACCAAACGUGGGGAAAUCAUCGUUGGUUCGCAUUCUUUCAACAGGGAAGCCAGAGGUUUUGCCUUUUGUCCCAACCUUCAUAUUAGUUUUGAUAUUAACUUGCAUUCCCUUAUAUGAUAUUCUUUUUGGGUUGUCAGAUUUGCAACUAUCCUUUCACAACCAGAGGGAUUCUGAUGGGCCAUGUCAUUUUGAACUACCAACGGUUUCAGGUUACAUUACUUGCUUUGUUUCAUCUAAUCACAUUCCUCAUGAUUUGGAUUGUUAAUCAUCCAGAGACUCAUUGCAGGUGACAGACACCCCUGGACUUCUCAGGAGAUGUGAUGGUAAAGUCUACUUGCUAUAUAACUCUCUUGUGUAUGCAUUGUUUUAUGAUAUUUGAUUGUUGUUUUUUGGGUCAUGACAGAGGAUAGGAACAAUCUAGAGAAGCUAACUCUUGCUGUACUCACUCAUCUUCCAACCGCGGUUCUAUAUGUUCAUGAUCUUACUGGAGAGUGUGGGACUUCACCUUCUGACCAGGUAAGUGUAUACCAUGUGCAUCGUCAACUUAAUUUAAAUGAUCUGAAGAAGACAAAACAUGUGUGUGAGACAAGCAAUUGUGUCUGGUUAAUACUUUGCUGAUUCAGUUAUGUAUUUGUUUUGAGGGCAUUGCAGUUUAGGAUAUAUAAAGAAAUAAAAGAAAGGUUUAAGGAUUACCUGUGGAUUGAUGUUGUGUCCAAAUGCGACCUGCUUGGAGGCGGCUCUCCGGUGAUUUAUGCCAAAGAAGAUAGAAGCAAUGAUGAAGAAGAAAUCAUUAAGUACAGGGAAACAGGGCCUGAUGAAUCAUUUCAUGUCUCAGUGAAAACAGAACAAGGUCUCAGU
rnacentral:lncRNA from 1 species